CCGGGUGUGGGGUAGUUCGGUGGCCCGUCUGCCUUGGGAGCAGAAGAUCGCAGGUUCGAAUCCUGCCACUCGGACC
rnacentral:tRNA from 1 species